UCGCAAAUCGGCAGUGGUGACUGCAACCUAGCUCGCUCAAACCAUUCGCCAUUUUGCCGUUGUUAGUCACUUCGAAAUAUAUCUCUAAGGUGAUUUUACAGGGGGCCGUAUUUUACGAAAAUGUGUGGCCGCAGUAGUACUGCCGGCGACAAUCGUAGAAUGUGCCAGAAAUUCAUGUAAAUACAGUGGCAUGCCUGAGCAACAUAGCUAAAGGAGACUCUAUUGCAUAGUUGCUGAUGCAUUGCCUAAGGGGGUCAGUAUUGUGGCCUAAAGGUGGUGCCUAUUUGAUAUGUGUGGACCGUGAUACUGAUUUGUGAGAAGAAUGGCUGAUGAAUCCAAUUACACCCUGGAACAACUAAUUGUUAUGAAUACCUGGGUUUGUGAACUAUCUCACACUGGGAAAACACUGAGAGAGAUUCAAAAUGAUUUCACCGUUAGAUGUAAUAUGGCAGCACCACCGAAACCAACAAUAUUACGUCGGGAGAAGACGCUGUUUGAAACUGGUUCCAUAAAAGGGAGACCACGUUCUAGAAGACUGAGAAGAAGAGCAGAUGUGCGGAUAUUGCAGCAUCGGUGGAACGUUCACCAAAAAAGCCGCUACACAAGCGAUCACAGGAACAUUCACUGAAAAAGCCACUACACAAGCAAUCACAGGAAAUGAACAUCCCAUUAACAACUUUACGGUGACAUAUGCAAAGUGAUUUAAACUUAAAACCAUUCAGACCCUCAUUUGGAAAUGAAUUGAGUGACUAAGAGAAUCAACAUGACCCCUGUGCGCGAUUUUUAAGAAGCUCCUCGAGAAAAAAUUGACUAAUAAAAAUUACAAACUUUUUAGUGGCAUAAAGUAUCUGCCUGAAACAUUAGCAUUAUACAAGUUAACAAAUAGGAAUAAGAAACAGUAAAAUAUACCCAAACAGUACCAAGCGGCCGCCAUGUCAUUCUUAGCCCACAAGCACACUGGAUGCGGAUAUAGAGGCGCAUAUGGUCAGCACACCACUCUCCCAGAUGAAUGUCAGUUUAAGAGACUGGAGCCACUACCUCUCAAUCAAGUUGCUCCUCAGUUUGCCUCACGGUGGCUGAGUGCACCACAAUUGCCAACAGCACUCGGCAGACCGAACUGUCACACAUCCAAGUGAUAGCCCAGCCUGACAGCGCUUAAUUUUGGGAUCUGACGGGAACCAGAGUUUCCACUGCGGCAAGGCUGUUGGCAAACAAAAAGAAAUGGUUUACAUUAAUUUUUAUCUUCAUUACCUUUAAGCCUGUCAUCUGGGGUAUCACAAUUUUUAAUCAUCACUAUCAUCCUAGUAAAACAGUUGUUUUUGCUGAAUACAUAUCGGAUUUUGCUUCUAUACUGACGUGAGACUAUUAAAAUCUUUCUUGCUUCCAAACAUAUCGUCUGCUGACCUCUCUCAUUGGCUGCAUAGAAACAGCAGUUGACACACUCCACGGUACUGGCCCCUAUCUACACUUUUACCGUCUCCUGCGGAAAUGUGUACUAUUUCAUUUUAUAUCUUCCUGUAAUUCAUUUAUAUGAUGUAGGAAUUGCCACAAGUGUAAAUAACUUGCAAGGUACACAUAAUAUGAACAUAAUAAUAGAAUAUCACUUAUACAGCUAUUUUCAAUACAUUUUUGAGAGUACAUUUGUCAUGAACAUGUACAUAAAUGUUAAGACAAUAAUUUUACACGCAUUCAAAGUACUCAUCUAUGUCAGCUUAAGUUCUGAUCAUUGUGCAUGCCCAGAAACUUUGCAGAUUCCACUCUCUCUAUCUCUUCGUCACUCAGUUUUAAUUGGAGGUUAUUUCCUUGGUCUGCUUUGCCAUACUGUAUAUAAUUUGUUUGACUUAAAACACUUGACUUGUUUGCAUUAAACCACUGUUGUAUAUAUUUCA